UGGGAAACAAACAUAUCACUGUUAUUUUCAACACGUCUAUGUAUCGACUCUGGAAGGAUACAGUGUGGAUUAUAUGGAGGACUUGUCAGGUGUUCAGGUAUUCAAGCUCUUACGUAACUGUGUUGGUGGGAACCUGCUGGCUGUUCAAACAGGUCGGCGUCACAGGGGAUUAGGGGCUGAUGGACACGACCCACAUACUGAGAAGCUUCCCUGCAGUCUGCAGGCUGGCAGAGAAUGAAAGAGCUCCCUGGUUCAUCCCUGAUGCUCCCCCAGCUGCCGUCGGGCCCACUCUCUCUACGGGCCUCUGUCUCCAGCCCUCCGCGGUGGGCUUUGACUUGUUCAAGGUCCCCUCUGUGAUGUGGGCUACCCAAUAAAAGCCAAUGCCACAUAGCUGGAUUCCCAGGCCCGUUUCCCCCCUGAGUCUUUAUCUUUCACAGCAUUGACUGAAGGUGAGGGCUGCCAGAGAAUUGGGUUUCACUCGGCUCACACAGACUGUCUCGUUCUUUGCCUCUUUGGCAAAACCAUGGGUGGAAGGAGCUGAAACAUUCAGUGGAGUGUGAGUGUCUGGGUUUCCAUCUCAGCACUUUUCCAUUUCAAAUCAAGUGGGUCUGAUUGGAUUCCACACAGCAAGUCCUCAAUAUUUUAAAAUAGCUCCUAAAGAGAAGGUUCAGAUUUUUCCUCCUGUCCAUCUUAAUGCAAUUUUGGCAAACCACACAAAAUUCUAGGUCACUAUCCCAUCCAACCUGUUCAUACUCAGGGAUGUAGCACCAAAUUCUGGGCCUUAUACAUAACUGAAGUUUUUGUGCAUGGUAUCUAUGCAAUGUUAUGAAAAAGGGUGGUAAUGGAUUUUAAAAACAACAACAUGCCGCUGGUCCAAAUGUGAAACUCAAAGCUUCAAAACAGUACUUCACAAACCACGGUGGAUUACCAUUUGACCUAUCACCGAAUUGCAUGGCUUUGGACUGUGGACAGAAAAAGUAUUUGAGCCAGGAUUCGAACCAAGAUCAUUUCAAAACAUGUUUUAUUGUUUUGAAAUGUGAGACUGACUCACACACGCAGACUUUCUCAGCUCAAGUGAGUCCGAAAAUAUACUUGCAAUACUUAGGAAAUUUGAAGCGUUUUAUUUUUUAUUUUUUAAUAUCCAGACUGCUGACGUAAGUCAUAAAAAUUGCUCUAUGUGUCUUUAGGAGUUUGACAAAUCUCGGCGUUAAAAGUUGCCGGUCGGACCUUUCUCUGAUGCAGCUCGAUGACAGUCAUGAAUGGGACUGAGCAUGUAGGUGCAGCAAUAUACAUGUUUGUGUUUACAGCGGCUCAGCAGCUGCCCUGACUGCUCCCCGCUGCACUGUCGAAACAGGAAAAGCCUUAUAUAACACAUUACACACAGUAAAAGAUUAACAUGCAGUCACUGAGUUAAUCUGUUACACAAACACAGACACAGGAGCAGGUGUGCAUGCAAACAUGCACACAAAUGUACACGUAGUCGACCGAGUUGAGUUGAAACAGACAUGCAUCUGUGUGAAGGUACAUAUACAUGCAAACAUAACACGCGCAUAUUCACAGGACACACGAGGACAAACAAAUCCAAGCUGAAACGCAGAGUAGAAUUUAUACUAUGGUAAGUCUGUCAUAUACAAAAACAUGGAUACACCACACACACGCGCAAACACAUCCCUGGACAGAGUUCAUCCAGUCAUUCCAUCCUUGUGGCGGUGAAGCUGUUUUUCCAUCGCUGGGCUCUUAGCGUGACACUGUGGUCCAAACAGCAGUGAAAUAUUACAUGGGCCCGGGUUAUUAAAACUGUUAUUAGCAUGGCCAAUUGGGGCUAAACAGGACCUGACUGUCACCCUAAUGACAGGGUGGCUGAGGGCUGGGAAAAGGAGGGGGGGGGGGCUGUUCUGCUGAAACCUCUGACCAUCAUCCACCAAACAGCCCCAGUGGAUUCCCUGCCACUAAUAUCCAUCCACCACCAACCGCCCCUUUAUCCCUCCAUGUGCUCAGAGCCCUCUGGAUCCUGCGCUGCAUGAGACAAAUAAAACUGUGGUAUUCACAUACAAAGCCCCCGAUACACACAGACAUGGAGACAGAGAGCAAAACAAAUACAGUUUCUCUUACACAGAUAAAACAGACAUAUGGAUGCAUAUAAUUACCAUACAAAUAAACAUGUUUCGAAACAAAUAAACCAAAAUUUGUUCCGUCUCCAUUCAUUUUCCAGUACAGUUUUUUUAUUUGAUUCUACUGCAUCCUUUUACUCCACAUUCAAGAGGAAAACACAAUAUUUUAUUUUGGGCACGGAAUGGAAUCUGAUCUGCAGCUCUGUUGUAAAUCUCACAACUGUGAAGAAGAUAAGAUAAAGUUAAUUAAAAAUUCAAAUACAGCCACUGUGUAUAAUCGCCCAUGACUGCCAGGGUCUGUUAUACUUUGCUCAUCACAAUGAAACAAAUUAAAGUCUUGCAGCAUCCCUGAUUCCAGCUGCAGAUCUUUUUUGUUUUUGCAUGUCUUUCUCCUCUCAUGCUCCCCUCAUCUCCUUUGUGCAAAAAAAUAAAAUGAGGAUUUAACACAUUUCUAAAGUGUUUCCCCCCACAUGAUUACUAUUUUACCCAAAGAGCAUCCAACCCUACAAUCUUUAACAUCCUCUGAUUUUUUUUUCCCACCAGUAUCUGCUUUAUGAUAAUGAUAUGAAAGACUUCCAACAUUGACAACAUGUGUUUAAACAAAUCAUUCGAAAGCCAACAAGCACAUAUCAGAUCGCUCUUUCCUCCUACUCAGCCUUAUAUUCUCACUCACAGUCUCACCCACCUCUGGUUCCCCUGCUUUCCCCCUUCCCCUCCUUUGCAAAGCAAUAAACUGAACUGCAUAUCUUCACACAGAAAACACACACAGAGUACAAAACAUAGCUGUAGCUCACAGUGGCCGAUGCUGACCAACUACAGUGGGCUUCAGCUGGAGCCAGAGAGACCACUGUGGUUAUCGCUGGGUCUUUGGUAUCCAAAAAAGCC